rnacentral:misc_RNA from 1 species
UACGGAGGGUGCAAGCGUUAAUCGGAAUCAUUGGGCGUAAGGGCGCGCAGGCGGCCUUUCAAGUCCGGUGUGAAAGCCCGAGGCUCAACUUCGGAAGCGCAUCGGAUACUGGGAGGCUUGAGUCCGAGAGGGGACCGUGGAAUUCCUGGUGUAGGGGUGAAAUCCGUAGAGAUCAGGAGGAACACCAGAGGUGAAAACGACGGUCUGGAUCGGAACUGACGCUGAGGCGCGAAAGCGCGGGUAGCGAACAGG